GCUUUAUAGAUGAGGAAACUGAGGCACAGACGGGGAAGUCACCAGCCCAAGGCACACAGCCAGGAACCAGCAGUCAGGAUCUGAGCCCUGUGGGUGUGAGACUUUUCCAAAGCUCAAAAGGAAUCUGCGAUGAGGUCUGGCGGGAGUCGGGGGCUGCAUAGGAGAGCUGAGCGGCGAGCUAGCCCAGAACGGGGCCGGGAGGAAGGCAUUCAAGGUCUGGCGGGAGUCGGGGGCUGCAUAGGAGAGCUGAGCGGCGAGCUAGCCCAGAACGGGGCCGGGAGGAAGGCAUUCAAGGUACGGGCACAGCUUGCCCAAAGCUGUGGAGUCUGGAAGGGAGCCACGAGGAGCAGGGGUGUCUGGGCCGUGGCAGGGAGGGGGGCCCUCUGCAGGACACGGUCCCAGCCUGAGCUUGUCCUGCCCUGGGUGCUGGCUUCCACCCCCUUUCUAGCUUGGGCCAACUCGGGUGGAGCAGGAUGAGCUGAUGGCUUGGAAGCAGGAGGGGCUUCCUGGAGGAAGCUGAAGCCAAGGGGGUCUGAGGGCUGGAGGUGGGAGGCGGCAGGCAAGCCCAGAGGCUGGGCUGGGUGCUCAUGGGCCAUGGAGAAUGGGCUGAGUGGAGGCCAGGAGACUUGCGGGGGUGUUCACAGGGAGGCAAAGGGCUGGGCACUGGCGCAUAGUGUGGGCGCUCCACCCAGCCCCUCGACCCCUUGUUCUCCCUUUCUGUGGGGUUUGUGCACCCACAGCCCUCCCGCUGUGCUCGCAUCCCAAGGCAGCACCUGUGGCUCUUUCUAGUUGGGCAGCCGUGGGGCAACGGGAACUGAAAGUGAGAAUUGACGCCGGCCCCACCCAAGUGGCCCUUAGCCAAUGACUAGCAGGUGCAGGACCCCAGCUCCUUGUUCGGCAUCAGAAAACUGAGCUUAACUUUCAUUCCAGAGUCCACUGCGGGAUCAGGCUGAGGCCACCCCCUGUAGGACGACACCUUUCCUGGGCUCCGGCCCUCUGUCCUCCUCUCCCUAUUCCUUCUCUGGUUUCCUCUGGAAGAUUUCCCUCACAUCCCAGCUGUACCCAACUCCUCCCUUCAGCGUUUGCUCCUGAGGAGCUGCUCCAAAGACAACUGGGUGAGGCUCCGGGGCCAGAUGACCCGGUUCGAACCCCAGCUCUGCCCCUUACUGCCCGUGGGACCUCAGCCUCUCCGAGCCUCCACUGUCCUCAUCCAUGGAAUGGGCAUUUGAGGGAGGCUGUUCUUCCUCAGGAAGUGACUGCUCGGAUCCAGAACUGAGAACACAGAGGCACUGAGGCCCCAUGUUUUGAAGAAAGCCACUGUCGGUGGGUGGAGCAGACGCCCUCCUCAAGGCGCUGAAGCAGCCUCUGCUGGCCCACCAGCAGCCACCCUUCUGACUCCGACUACUUAUUUCUUCCCACAAGCGAAAUGCGGGGCCUCCCAGCCCCAAGAGGCUGGAGGGUGGACCACAUCUGGGGGAAAGGGAGAUGGGCAGGGAAUGGCAGAGGUCAAAUCACAUCAGUUUUCACUCCAGCCACACUGAUCACUCUCCCGGCCAUUCCUCAGAUAAGCCCAGGACACUCCGGCCUCAGGGCCUUUGCACUGGCCGUUCCUUUCCUCCAUCUGGAACUCUCUCCUCCCACAUGGCCACAGGUUCACUCCCUCACUCCAUCAAGGUUCUGCUCAAAUGCUAUCACCUCAGCGAGGCCUCCCCCGACCAUCUUAUCUAAUCUGACACUGACCCUUUCUAACCUCUUAGGCUGUUCUACUCUUCUUCAUGGCACCCAUCCCUCCCCAGCAGGUGUGUCCGUUUCCUUGUUCAUUGUUUCUCAGGAGAACAGGAGCUCUGGGAGGGCGGAGGCCUCGUCUGUUUUAGCCCCAACACCUGCCCCAGAGCCUGGCCCACAGAAGGUGCUGGUCAAAUGUUUCCUGUAAGAAUGAAGGAAUGAAUUGGACGCCUGCCACGCAGCAGCCUCGACAGUGAGCCAGUGUUAGCCAGCUGGGCUCCAGAUAAAUACAAAUGGCUUGGCCACUUUUUCUCAAGUUCCUCAUGCCAGAUGCCAGCAAGUCAGAGGAGAAAGGGACCCAGAGAGGGGAGGGAGGCCAGCAGAGUAAGGAGCAGUCUGCGGCCCUGGGGUGCGGCCCGUCGCAGCUGGAGGAGAGAGGGGAGUGUUGGACAGAAUGCGAGAUGAAAGUUUUCAUCCAAACUGGGCUGGACUUAGUAUCUGGAAGAGACUAGAGAGUUCUGGGAUCUGCCCAAAGGCCGUUAGGGGCGAGCAGGUCAGGGAGGUUUGAGGGGGACGGCCUGAAGCAGGGACGGGAGAAAAGGAAGGCAGAGCCAGGACUGAUGCCCCGACACCCUGAAUUCAGAGCUCAGUGACCCCGGAGCUGAGAGCAGCGAGGGCAGCAUGGGAUGGUGUGGGCUGAGCUGUGUGCUUGCACACCGUGUGCUUGCACACCGUGUGCUCAACUCAUCCUGCUCUUUUCCUGAGUCCUGGCUGUGUGACCCUGAGCUAGUCCUGUCCCUCUCUGGGCUUCAGAGUCUCCAUGUGUACAAAGGCCAUGUUCCAGGCCCCUCAAAAGCGGCGUUCAAACUGGGAGUGCCUCCUUUAGUGGGUCAUGCAAGCAACUUACUAGACCAUAUUUUUUAAAAAUGAAAUAGAAUUGAAUAGAAGAGAAAAUAUCAGAACCCAGUGCAGAGUCAGGUUAAGUAUCGUUUCCUGAGGCUUCUGUUUAAAUUGCAUAGACGCACACGUGCGCACACGGAAGAAUUUUCUGUGUGUGUAUACUGGGUCAUGAUGGCAAAUAUAUUUAUUCUUAUGGUCAAAAAAGUUUGAAAGUCACCACUCUUAAGGUCCCAGCCUGAACCAGCCAGGGCCCACCAAGGUGCAGACAGGUGGCACUGGCUACAGGCUGACCCUGCGGACUCUAAGGGCCGCUGGGAUAUUCCUAGGGCCCCUGGCCAUCACCUGGGGCUGUUUCAAAACUUCCGCCGCAGACCGGGGAGUAGGGAGAAUGGAGCACGGAGGGGGCCGGCAGGUGAGGUCAAGGCCCAGAGGAGACAGGACUCGAACAAGGUCACUGGUCGAGGCGGAGGUGGACCCGGGGGACUCCUGGCUCCCAGCCCCUCCCCAGCCUUCUCGUCCCCCACCUCAGCUGGGGUGCAGGCACCUCUACCAACACGGCCUUCUCCCCCUGAGGACACUGGCCCCGUGAUGUCACAGGCCGGUUGCCAUGGAGACGUCAGGUAAUGAACCAGCCCAGGGUGAAAAUCACAGGCUGCUCUUCGCCCAGCUGGGACUGGAGGCCACGUCACCACCGGCAACUGGAAAAACACAGCGUUCGUGUCAGGAGAGGGGUCUCAUCCAGAUGUUUCCUCCAUCCCUCUGCCUUCAACUGGAGCUUCUCCUCUGCUCACCAAGGACGCUUCCUGCCUUCCCAUGCCAGCUCCUCAUGCUGCUCUCGCGUCCAACCACACAGACAGUUCCCUCUGAUGUCUAACCUAAACCCCUCUUGAUGCAAAGCUCCCACACUGGUUUUCUCUGUUCCUUGAUGGGGAAACUGAGGCUCACAGAGGUGAAAUGACUUCUGCAAGGUCACCAGCUAGCAAGUGGCAGAGAUGGGGUUCAAACCUAGACCAGUCUGGAACUCCAACGCUUAUGCUCCAACCACUAACCAGUGCUGAUCUCCAGAGAGAGUCCUCAGGCCAUUUUUUCAGGUGAAGAAGCCGUGUUCACUGGUCCCUUCAGAAACCUGGUGACGGCCGGCUGGGAUUUGAAGGCUCAACAAGCUUCCCUCUACCCACAGGAAGCUUAAAGAACCCCCGUUCAGUGGAUGUGUAUGAAGCACCUACUAUGUGCCAGUGUGAACAAGACAGACGUGCCAGUCCUGGAGUCAGUGCUGUGUUUGGUCAGCGUGCUCAG